GAUGAACGCUAGCGGCAGGCCUAAUACAUGCAAGUCGAGGGGCAGUUCUGCUUUCGGGCAGAAGCGACCGGCGCACGGGUGCGUAACGCGUAUGCAACCUACCCACAACUGGGGGAUAGCCCGGAGAAAUCCGGAUUAAUACCCCAUAAUGCAUUGAAACCGCAUGGUUUUAUUUGCUAAAGAUUUAUUGGUUGUGGAUGGGCAUGCGUCUGAUUAGUUAGUUGGUGAGGUAACGGCUCACCAAGGCAACGAUCAGUAGGGGGUCUGAGAGGAUGAUCCCCCACACUGGUACUGAGAUACGGACCAGACUCCUACGGGAGGCAGCAGUAGGGAAUAUUGGUCAAUGGGCGCAAGCCUGAACCAGCCAUGCCGCGUGCAGGAUGACGGCCUUCUGGGUUGUAAACUGCUUUUAUCAGGGAAGAAAACGGCCAUGCGUGGCAGAUUGACGGUACCUGAAGAAUAAGCACCGGCUAACUCCGUG
rnacentral:rRNA from 1 species